AGAGAGCGAUUCCCGCAGUGUGUGUACACAUCCUGCUCCCCAGCUAGCUCCCCAACCCUCCCCCCAUCCCCACAAACAGCAAGGCUGGACAGGCAAAGGGGCAAGAAGGAAAGUGCUCUUCUCCCCACUCCUCUCUCUUCCCCCACAUCCCUGAGUCUAUUAUUCAAGCUCCUAGGCUUCCUUUUAUAACACCCCCCCCCAUUAAGUAAACCUGGAGCAUGUGGACAUCAGCACAGACAGACACACAGACAUCCAGAUGUACCUACCCCCUUCGGCAGCCAGGAUCCAAAUCACCUCCAGCAGGAGAGUGAAGAACAACAUGGUGUCCCCGCAAGAAGCAGCUGCUGCUCCCGCCUCAAUUAAUUCCCUGCAGUAGCGGAGGAGGCAUUGCUCGGAGGAGGAAAUCCAAAACCCAACAAAAGCUUCAAGUCAUUUCUAAGGAACAUCUGCAAAAGUGAAAUGCAUCUGUUAAUGAGCUCGUAGAUCCUGCAUUCUUUCUACUGUUCUACUGUCCAACGCAUUUAUCAUUUUAGAUUUACCAGGAUGAGGAAGAGGAGGAAGAUGAGGAUUAAAACUCAUUUAUCUGGAAUAUUUUAUAGAAGUUCUUGAAUAAAACUUUGGAACCCCC